rnacentral:lncRNA from 1 species
CAUUAAAGUGAGAGGGUUAGUGCUAUAGAACCAGGUUUAAUCCACCAUUUUCUACAUUUGAAAAUGCCUGUACCAAGUCAGGAAUAUGACAGUUCUUGUCCAUUCGUUUUUGAUGCGUUUUGUUAUUUGAUUUUGCCAUGUGAUUAUGGACUUUCCCAAUUGAUCUUCCUCUAAGUUCAGUAUUUUUGUGAUUUUACUUUAUACAA